rnacentral:tRNA from 1 species
GGAGCCGUCGACUAACCGGCAGGUCACCGUCCUUUCAAGUCGGAAGGUGCGGGUUCGAAUCCCGUCGGCUCUAC